AACUCAGUGAGAAUCACCACACAGCUAAGAGCAAUCUGCAUUUUUAACAGGAUCCUCAGGUGAUUCCUACUGAAAUUAAGGAUUUGAAGCAUUCAUUACCAUCUGGACUUGGUCUCUCAGAAACCCAAAUUACAUCUCAUGGCUUUGACAAUACCAAAGAGGGUGUUAUUGAAGCAGGAGCAUUUCAAGGUUCCCCAGCACCGCCACUGCCAUCUGUUAUGUCUCCUAGCAGGGUUGCAGCUAGUCGACUGGCUCAGCAAGGAAGUGAUUUAAUUGUUCCUGCAGGUGGCCAGAGAACACAGACAAAAAGUGGACCAGUUAUUCUAGCAGAUGAAAUUAAAAAUCCUGCAAUGGAAAAGUUAGAACUUGUUAGAAAAUGGAGUCUAAACACCUAUAAGUGUACUCGACAGAUUAUCUCUGAGAAGCUAGGCCGUGGCUCAAGAACUGUGGACCUUGAACUUGAAGCUCAGAUUGAUAUAUUAAGGGAUAACAAGAAAAAAUAUGAAAAUAUUUUAAAACUGGCUCAAACAUUGUCGACCCAGCUUUU
rnacentral:lncRNA from 10 species